CUCUUCGCCCCCGGCUCGGUCCUGCCCCGCGUCCCUGCAGUUCACAAAGGGUAAGAGGGCGCCAUUGGGGCUCUGUGGGGCGCCCCCGCUGAGGAUGUUGUCGGCCGCGCUCUCCAUCUCCUCUAUGGUCAUGUCGCAGGCGUCGGCCAGCUCCUGGGUGGUGACCUCGAUGAACUUGGGAUCUUGAGCAAACUGCCCCAGUCCUUCUGAAAUCAAGACCUGAAGGAGCGGGGUGGGAGCCAUGAAGAACCAAAGGAACAUUACUCCUGGAGCCCAGCUCUUCCCUUGAGGGCUAGAGCGAGGGGGUAUCUGAGAAACCAUUCUCCCUGGUGAAACUGCUGAGACAGGCCCACUGCCCAUUGCCUGCUGCUGCCUUUCCAGGGGGGUCGAGAGUGCGCCAUGGCACCACCCACCCUGAAGAUGUCAUCUUCAGAAGCAGCGGACACAGCCUCCUUCAUGGCCUUGUCCAGCUCCUCCUCAGCGGUGAGAUCUCCAGAGAUGGCCCGUCGGAUCUCAGGCCCGAUGUCAUGCAGUGUGCGCAAGCCAGCCUGGAAUCCAAGGGGAGGAUGGUGAGGACCACGCUCCCUUUCCUCCAAGCUCCCCAGCCAGCCACAGCCUCGGGCCAAGACCUGUCCCUCCAGGGCCCUGGCAUCCUCCACCCAGCCAGUCGACCCUCCGGAAGGUUUGUGUGUGUGUGAACUGGGGGCUGGGCUGCCCUCUGAUGGAACAAUCCACUCGCCCAUCCAGGAGGGAUGAAGGCUCAUUAGGACGGGGCACCAGGGGUCAGGGGCUGUCACGGGAGCCUCAGUGAAGUAUUUGAGAGAUCUGGGGGCUAUGACAGCAGGCAGAACCAUGGAGGGCAGUCGGUGGGUGGCAGGUAGGGAAGGGCACAUCACCCCCUUCUCACAGCCAUCUUUGGAAAGGUCUGGAGCUCUCUGAAAGGUUCCCUCUGCAGGGACCUGGCCUCCAGCCUGCUGGGGAGGGACCGGGACCCUGACUGGAGGUCAGAGGCAAUGACCAGGACCUUCCUGGAGUGUGGGCCCGCCCCCAGGCCCUCACCUGCAGAGACAGCGCGUUCCUCUGGGAGGGCUUGCCCACAAGGCCCUGCUCUUUGCGCUUCUUGAACUUCCGGAAGUACUCCUGGAUCAGGAACGUGGCGUAGAACUUGCCAACGGUGACCUCAUCAUCUGAGACGUAUGGAGAGGGGAGAGGGGAGAGAAGCUUGUUUGGCUUGGUACUGGACUUGGGAUGAGAGCUCUUCCUUCUACGUUCCAAGAGAGAAGCUUCUUUGGCUUGGUACUGGACUUGGGAUGACAGCUCUGCUUCUCUGAGGGCCGUCCUGACCAGGGCAAACAGGGUGGCAUUGAACAUGACUGUCCCGUCGCUGUUCAGAGGCAUGUUCAUGGAGACCAGGCGCUGCAGGCGAAGAGAAGCAAAGCUGGUGAUGAUGGCAGGCGGUGCUUAGGGGACCGCAGAACACCGUGGCAGAGUGAUAUGGUUUGGCUCUGUGUCCUCGCCCAAAUCUCAUGUUGAAUUGUAAUCCCCAGAAUUGGAGGUGGGGCCUGAUGGAAGGUGAUUGCAUCAUGGGGUGGAUUUCUCAUAAAUGGUUUGGUACCAUCCCCUUGGUGAGUGAGUACUCAUGAGAUCUGCUUGUUUAAGUAAGUGUGUGGUCCCUCCCCCUUCUCUCUUGCUCCCUGUCUGUCCAUGUGACGUACCUGCCUCCCCUUUGCCUUCCACCAUGAUUGAUUGGAAGCUUCCUGAGGCCUCCCCAGAAGCAGAAUGCUAGUGCCAU
rnacentral:lncRNA from 1 species